rnacentral:lncRNA from 1 species
AUGGUAAAGCCUCAUGAACUUUGUGCCAAUCAAGAAAAUGCUGCAGUGUCUUCUGCAAAGAAGCCCAAGUUAGCAGGGAAAGAUUCAGCAAGCACUGCCUCCACCCACUGUGACUCUUAUUCAGGACUGGGAAAGGACACGGGAGCACAGAGCAUGGGCCAAGCUUGCCAAGAGCCAUCGUGUUCAUGCUCUUGUUCUUCCGCAAGUCAGCAGUGCCAGAUGACAGCCUGCACUCAGGAGAUUCUGGAAAUUUUGAAGCAAGGCAAUGCAUUUAUUUUAGAUACUGACUUAGAUUUUUUUUCUGUCAAGAACCCCUUCAAAGAAAUGUUCACUCAGGAGGAAUACAAAAUCUUACAAGAGCUCUACCAAUUUAAAAAGCCUGCUAGCAACCUAACUGAGGUAUCCACCAUUUAUUUCUUCUAGAUUUUAUGCAUUUGUUACUUGUCUAGUAGUAUCUUGUAACUUUUUAGCGUGAUCUUAAAAGACUGUCCAAAUUCUGUGUGUAUUUGCACCCGUGUGCAUGCAUGCGUGCUUGCAUGUGCACACGUGUGCAUUUGUUUAUUGGUCAAGCCCAUUAGUAUAUGAAAAUAAUGUGUCAAGAAUUUUCACUAUAUAGGAUUUCACUUGUUUUUUGAAAGAAUAAUUGUAUAUUCUCAGCUUUUCAAUGUAUUUAAAGGAAGAUUUGGUAGAUACUGUUGAUACUCAAAUUCAUCAGUUAGCAGACUUAGAAGCAGCUUUUGCUGAUUUGUGUGAUGGUGAUGAUGAAGAAACUAUACAGAGAUGGGCUUCAAACCCUGGGUAAGGUCCCAAAUCAUUUUCUUUGACUCCAAGUCUACUAAUUUUCA